AACCACCACUAUAUGGUAGAUAUAUCAUUUAAUUGUAGCAGCCCAAGUGGUUGGGCUUAAGCCCAUUUCGGCCAAAGUGGGUAACAGGCCCCAAAUCCUUAUCAGAUUCAAUGCACGUAAGAUGUUCUUGAUUAACUUAAACUCAAAAGAAAACCCUAAGGCAUUACUCCCUUCUUCUUGAUUGUUCGAUGGCAGUAGGCAUACCCCCACCCCCAGCGAAGCCCUUCUCUUCUCGGCUAUAAACAAAUCCUUUGGCAUCUCAUUUUUUUGGUAAGUGCGCUAUCACUACUCGAUUCUGUACAUGGCAGCCACCACCACUAAUUCACAACAUCUGUUGGGCCGACACACCUUCACAGCCCAUUUUAUUUUCUUAUUCCUUUAGUGUUGGAUUAUGUUUAAAACUUAUAUGUCGAGCCCACAGCAUAUGAGCCCAAAACCCAUCAUGUGCGUGUAUAUUAGGAUACGUAAUAUGGUUUUGAAAAACAUAAGGAACCCUACUCUACUUCACCUUCUGCGUACGGAAGUAGCAAACCCUCCCCCCACACGCUACAGCCCACACUCCCACAAUUCUCCACCGACUUCCUUUUAUUCAGCCAUUAGAUACGUAAGUUUGGUUAUAUAUAACGAAUCACAAGAACCUAAAAACACUACGGCAGCAAGAAGACACCCUCGCAUCGUCGCGACUCUUCCUCCUUUACUCGGAAUUCCGCAACGAACUAGCUGCUACCCUCUCCUUGUCCGGCGAGUUCAAUCUCCGGCGAACACCGGUUGCGUGUACCGGACUUAACAUUUAACGCGUAAAAGUAAAUAAUCUAACCGAGCAAUCUAAGGUCGUUAGGUAUCUUGGAUUUUGGGGAACUUGCUGUCUGGAAUAGCUGGAGUGGUCAUGGGUCGACAAGAAGGAUUGAUGCGAUUGAUUUCAUAAAACUAUAUUUGAAUUUUGAAACAGUUUAACUUCGUUUAAUAUUUGCUUCCGCUGAACUUACUGGUUUUCGUUUAAAUAUUUUGAAGAUGUUUUAUUAAUAAUGGGGAUUUUAAAUUAUAACUUGUAUGGGUUCAAUGUAAUUGGUGGCUCGUUAUUGGUAUGUCACACGCCUAUCAGGGACACUCCCUAGGUGGUAUUUUGAGGGUGUGACAAUAUCGUCUCCUAAUAA